rnacentral:rRNA from 1 species
AUGGGCCGACUCCUUCGAUUCCUGGGAGGACAUCACACCUAUCCUGCCCAUGUGUUACACGGACGAGAAGCCUCCGCGCGGUACGGCCUACCCUGUGCGAACUCUGCAGGUCUUUCGGUCAGAGUUGCAGCCAUCAAAGGUGGAUUGGACUGGCCUCUGGAUGUCUAUGGUAUCGUUGCCGCACGUGACUCGUUGGAUCACAAUCGCAACAUUAUCUUCCACCGCACUAGGGAUAACUGCCAAACCAUUGACAAGAAGAAUCCAUGUCUGAGACUGACAGGGCCUACCCGCGCUGUUGUUGUUGUGGAUCCUGUGUACUUUGAGGUUAACUUGCGAGUAAAGGGCAAAACAGAAUCUGAGGAUAGAGAUUUGAGCUAUCUAGCUGUUUAUUAUCGUGAUUCUGGUUCUAGCGAAUCGUACGCGUUUAAAAGUGUCAGCACUAGCAAGCUUAGCACAGUGGCAUUGAUGUUGGGUGAUAUUGUUCAUUCAGUGGAGGCCACCAUCAGUGUGAGAGUGGUUCGUGGGGAAUGGCCGGAAGGUUGUAGAGGUCUAAUUUUUGCCAAUACCGCCAGUAUCGACGCCAAGAAAAUCGAGUUGCUUGCAUUCGGAGAUGAUAAGUUGCCUGUUGCAGCUAAUGGCAUGAUAAAGCUUUCACGGCGUGUUGUAUCUGUUGAAGCCGAUGGAGAGUUGAGAGUCUCCGUCAUGGCAAGUAGCCUGGAGGAUCAAACUGUUGAGAGAGAUUCAGAAGCAUUCAAAACCAAGAAAGCCUCCAGGAGCAGGCGAAUACUUGAAGUUCACUCUUGUAAGUUGGAAGUCACCAUCGCAUGGUCUUUUGUCUCGAACUAG